UGGCGAAGCCUCGCGUCGCGCGAGAGCGGGUUCCGGGUUCGCGCCACCCUCCUGCCCUGCGCUGGGGAGUUUCCUGCCUCGGGGGCUCUCGCUGGCGGCACGCCGGGGCUUCCCCAAUCCCCGCAGGGACCCCGAGUGGGUUUAGGUCCCUCGUUUAAGGUCGUCGUGGCGUCUGGCCGUGGGUAGAAGGAGUCACAGAGAAGGAGGAAUUUACAAUGGGCGCAAGGGAGAGGAAGUGAUGAAGAGGAUUAACACCCUGCUUCUAAUUCUGGCCAACUCGGAGGCCCUGCAUGGAAAAUCAGAAGUGACAAGAAUCCUGGAAGAGGGCCACCUGGCCAUCAGAAAAUUCCAGAGGGAUGUGGUCACUGCCAGACACACACUUGGUUAGAAACGGAACUAUGUAGUGUUACGGAAGUGAGUGGCAUAUUGCCAUGAGUAAUGAGAUAUGAUCCCAGCAGCACCCACCGCACCAAGAAGCUGAGCGUUGACUAAAGGUAUGAUGGCUACUAGACUCUUAUCGUGAACUAACUGUGCCACACAUUGAAACUGAAAUGUGGGUCCCUUAGAGUAACUUCUUUGUUUCCUGUUUUAAGAAGGUCAGAAGACGGGAGUGCAAACAUUCCAGUAACCAAACAUGGUGGUAUCAAGCCUAAUUAGGAAUA